GAUGAACGCUGGCGGCGUGCCUAAUACAUGCAAGUCGAGCGAACGGACGAGAAGCUUGCUUCUCUGAUGUUAGCGGCGGACGGGUGAGUAACACGUGGAUAACCUACCUAUAAGACUGGGAUAACUUCGGGAAACCGGAGCUAAUACCGGAUGAUAUUUUGAACCGCAUGGUUCAAAAGUGAAAGACGGUCUUGCUGUCACUUAUAGAUGGAUCCGCGCUGCAUUAGCUAGUUGGUAAGGUAACGGCUUACCAAGGCAACGAUGCAUAGCCGACCUGAGAGGGUGAUCGGCCACACUGGAACUGAGACACAGUCCAGACUCCUACGGGAGGCAGCAGUAGGGAAUCUUCAGCAAUGGGCGAAAGCCUGACGGAGCAACGCCGCGUGAGUGAUGAAGGUCUUCGGAUCGUAAAACUCUGUUAUUAGGGAAGAACAUAUGUGUAAGUAACUGUGCACAUCUUGACGGUACCUAAUCAGAAAGCCACGGCUAACUACGUG
rnacentral:rRNA from 1 species